rnacentral:rRNA from 1 species
AGUGAACGCUGGCGGUAGGCCUAACACAUGCAAGUCGAACGGCAGCACAGUAAGAGCUUGCUCUUACGGGUGGCGAGUGGCGGACGGGUGAGGAAUACAUCGGAAUCUACUUUUUCGUGGGUGAUAACGUAGGGCAACUUACGCUAAUACCGCAUACGACCUACGGGUGAAAGCAGGGGAUCUUCGGACCUUUCGCGAUUGAAUGAGCCGAUGUCGGAUUGGCUAGUUGGCGGGGUAAAGGACCACCAUGGCGACGAUCCGUAGCUGGUCUGAGGGGAUGAUCAGCCACACGGGAAAGAGGAAACGGUCCAGACGCCGACGGGGGCAGCAGUGGGGAAUAUUGGACAAUGGGCGCAAGCCUGAUCCAGCCAUACCGCGUGAGUGAAGAAGGCCUUCGGGUUGUAAAGCCCUGUUGUUGGGAAAGAAAAGAAGCAGGUUAAUACCCCGCUGUUCUGACGGUACCCAAAGAAUAAGCACCGGCUAACUUCGUG